rnacentral:tRNA from 2 species
GGGAGCGUAGCUCAGUUGGUUAGAGCAGCUGACUCUUAAUCAGCGGGUCGUGGGUUCGAGUCCCUCCGCUCCUACCA